CCAAUAGCGUAUAUUAAAGUUGUUGCAGUUAAAAAGCUCGUAGUUGAAUUUCGGAAUCAGUACGUCGGUCGUGCCCUAGGUAUGUACUGACGUUAUUGAUUCCUCCCUUCUGACGAACCGUUAUGCCAUUAAUUUGGUGUGGCGGGGAAUCAGGACUGUUACUUUGAAAAAAUUAGAGUGUUUAAAGUAGGCUCGCGCUUGAAUACAUUAGCAUGGAAUAAUGAAAUAGGACGUUUGAUUCUAUUUUGUUGGUUUCUAGGAUCGACGUAAUGAUUAAUAGGGAUAGUUGGGGGCAUUAGUAUUCAAUUGUCAGAGGUGAAAUUCUUGGAUUUAUUGAAGACUAACUACUGCGAAAGCAUUUGCCAAGGAUGUUUUCAUUAAUCAAGAACGAAAGUUAGGGGAUCGAAGACGAUCAGAUACCGUCGUAGUCUUAACCAUAAACUAUGCCGACUAGGGAUCGGAUGAUGUUAAUUUUUUAAUGACUCAUUCGGCGCCUUACG
rnacentral:rRNA from 1 species